rnacentral:ncRNA from 1 species
CUGCAACUCGCCUGCAUGAAGCCGGAAUCGCUAGUAAUCGUAGAUCAGCCAUGCUACGGUGAAUACGUUCCGGGCCUUGUACACACCGCCCGUCACACCACGAGAGUUUGUAACACCCAAAGCCGGUUUGGUAACCUUCGGGAGCUAGCCGUCUAAGGUGGGAUAGAUAAUUGGGGUGAAGUCGUAACAAGGUAGCCGUAUCGGAAGGUGCGGCUGGAUCACCUCCUUU